UUUCGUUUAUACAUUUCACAUAAUUAAAGUCAUUGACUUUUUGGAUUGUGUUUCACAAUAUCUAAGAGCCGUGUGCACCGUCAAAAUGCAAUCAUGCAAAAAUGCACCGGUUGAUGACCGGGUGUUACUAAGUAAAAUGACGAUUUCCUCAUACGAUCUUCGGUGUACGAAAUCGAUCGUAAAGUGGAAAUCGGGGAGUUGGCUAAAGACCUUCCUGAAGGAAGGUUGUGUGGAGUGUCUUUGUAAAGUUUUGAGACCUGAAAUAAAUAGGUCGUUUGUAAAGCUUAGAAAGUAGAAUUUGACAAAUAUAAGUAGAAAAAAAGGUGUUAACAAUCCAAGAAUCAUUUAUGUGAAAAGGAAAUACGCAACGCCCAGAUUUCUUGAGAGAGAGUGAACAAUGAUAAAAUAGAUAAUCAAAAAAUAAUGAGGUAUGACUAAAAAUAUAAAAGAUAAGGACACAGAGGAACUGCUCAAUGAUUUAAGGAUAAUGGGAUUUGACGAGGAGACAUUGUCAAAAUUAAGAGAUUUCUAAUCGCUGUUGGAAUAUGGACAGAAUUAAAUGUUUUGAGUGCCCAGCUUACGUACGAGGGUUUAAUGGUUAUGUUUACCAUUUACAAUAUAAACACGGAUACACAAUUAAUAGAGGGGGUGGACAACUUGGUUUUCAAUGUGCACAAGAUGGUUGUAGAAGGAGGUUUGCACUUUUUAAUUCUUUGCGCAAUCAUAUCAAAAAGAUUCAUUUUGAAAGAAAUACCGAGGAAUUCGUACUAGAUGAGAAUAAUGAUGUUCGAAUUGAUAAUGUAGAUAAUGAGUAUAAUAUUGAUAAUAUUGAUAACGUUGAUAUUGGAAUUGGUGAACUAAUAGAUAAUAUCAAUGAAAAUAUUGCGGAAAAUGUUAUUGACGAAGAACAACCUCCAUUUAAUUUACGUGUUUCCUUGGUUAGGAUGUUAUCAUAAACUCCAAUCAAAACCAUCAAUGACGGGCAGUAAUGUAACGAAUGUAUUGCAUGAAUUGGAACAAAUGUUAACAAAUUACACUGAAUUUUUUAAGACAAAAGUAGAAAAACUUCUUCAAACAAAUAACAUUUUGCAAAAUCCAGAUUGCCAAGAAGUAAUGAACAAUUUUCAAUCCUCGAAUUUAUCAUUCGACGGUUUAUGGACUUUAAAUGAUCAAAUAAACUCUCUUAAAAUUCAUUGUAAUUACAUUGACGGCAUUGAGGUUCCUUUAGGUACAAGAAUCGACAACGUUUUAGACACGAACUCAGCAACGACUGUGCCUAAAUUAGUACAGGAGACUUUCCAAUAUGUCCCUUUAAUUGAGACUCUGAAAUUAGUAAUGUCUAAUCUAGAAGUGCGAAAUGCUGUCCUGUCUGAGAGACCCUCCGACAACAACUUUCUUUCAUCAUUCAUAGAUGAAGAACAUUUUAAACGACACAGUUUUUUCCAGAAAUUUAAGAAUGCUUUGCGAAUUAUUCUUUAUUAUGAUGAUCUAGAUAUUGUAAAUCCUCUUGGAUCGAAAACGGGACCUUAUAAGCUGGGAGUCUUCUACUAUAUGUAUAAUAGAUAAUUUACUUCUGCACAUGAGAUUCAAGACUGGAAAUAUUCAUGUUGUGUGUUUGUGCUAUUCCGAAGACGUGAAAAAGUACGGAUAUAAAGUAAUAUUAAGAGAAUUUUUACGGGAUCUGAGUAAAUUAGAGUCUGACGAAGGCGUCACUGUUCAAAUAAAUAAUGAAGAUUUUAUUCUCCGAGCGUCUCUUGCUGGGUUUUGUGAAGAUACCCUAGCCGUUCACGAUGUAUUUGGACUUUUAAGACCAGCUGCGAUCAAGUUUUGCCGAAUGUGUAUGAUUUCCAGAGAAGAACUACAUGCAGGAAAUGUAACCGAACAAGAAAAAAGGACUGAGGACUCUGAAUUCUUCUAAAUUUUUUCACAUUUCGCGAAACAAAAUUUUUGACAUUAUGCACGAUUUGCUUUGUGGAGUCGUACCAAUGAUAUUGAAAUUAGUGAUAAAUCACUAUGUCUACGUGGAUUGUCUUUUUGACUUGCCAUUCUUGAAUGAAAAAAUUGCAUCGUUUCAAUAUGGAUUUGCUGAAAAAAAACAAACCGUCACCCAAUUUUACUGAUGCCAAUACGCGAAAUAUCAACAAUCACAGCCUAAGUCAAAAAGCUAUGCAGACUUGGUGCCUGAUCCGAGUUUUCCCAUUUUUGAUAUCUGAAAAAGUCCCAAAAGGUGAGAAGCAUAUGGAGAUGAUUCUUUUGUUACUUCGAAUCAUGGAAAUCGUUUUUGCCCCAAAGAUAAAUAAAAGUCUUCUGCCAUAUUUAUCUCAUUUGAUUAAAGAUCUUUUUGAGGUUUUUAAGAAACGUUUCCCUACAAUUGAUUUUAUCAAUAAAUUCCACCACAUGCUACAUUAUGUGGAAUGUAUCAAAUGGUCGGGCCCAUUAAUUCUUUACUGGUGCAUGAAAUUUGAAUUGAAGCAUGGUCAACUAAAAGAGAGAAGUCAUGUUAUGCACAACUACCGAAAUUGUCCUAAAACACUUCUUCGAGUAUGUCAAUGCACACAAAGUGCUUAUUGGGGUGGUCAGGAUAUGAAAAUAAACAAUGUCCUUGCUUAUGGAGGUAAAACUGUUCAAGUACAAGAUACUUUCAGCAGGCAGGAAUUAUUGAAUUUUGGCUACGUCGACACUGACAACGUAUUCUGCACCAAAUCAGUCAAUGUCAAUGGGACUGAAUACAGAAAUGGGGCUCUAGUUUAUGUAGCUGCGACAAUUUCAGUCGAUGAUAAUCUUCCACUGUUUGGUGUUAUAGAAGAAAUUAUUAUUUUGGAAAAAAAUGCAGUUUAUUUAAAAGUUUUACUUUACGAAACUUUAAAUUUUGAUACAGACUUCAACGCCUAUUCCAUUCAACUUGGAGAUUUAAAUAGCGCUACGUCAUUCACUUUAGUAGCAAAUCUUGCACAUUAUAAACCUUUUUGUAUAUGGACUGAAUCAAUUAAUUAUUUAAUUUCUUUGUUUCAUUUAGAUGAGAAGAUAGACGGCGACAGUUUUUUUGAUUUGACAGAAAAUGAUUUGCGGCAAAUUUUAAAUAUACGACUAGGUCCAUCAAAAAAAUUAAUUAAGUUAAUAAAUGAAAUGAAUGAAACUGGAAAUAAUCAGAGAGUCGUUCAAGAUAAAAUAGACCUAUCCUUCCAAUGACGUUAAGUGGGCCUUGGCAAAAAGUAUUGUGAGAGAAUUCCCUUGUCUUCGAGAUAGUGAGGCUACAGCAGAAUGUGAACAAUUUUUUGACAAGACAUCUAGAAAAGGAUUUAUUGAGCACAGGCUGUGGAACGCUCGAAAAUCCUUACCUGCGGAUCAAAAGAAAUAUACUACUUUGAAGACAAGAGCUGCAGCUAAUAAGAAAAAUCCUGAAGUCGACAAGGUUGAUUCAAAUUUAUUAAAUAAAGAGGCAUUGGAAGAACAAAUUUCCUGGAUGCAACUUACGAUGCCUAGAGAAGAUAAAAAGAAAGAAAUUGAAGAAUCUCUUCAACUAACUUUUUUCAACAGACGCAAAUGGAUAAACGACGACCAUCCAUCAAUUGAAGAAAUCGGAAACAAAUAUCCAAGAUUAUUAUUAACUCUCGCGGCAUCACUAAUUGUAUUCUUUUACUUACGUUAUUCUCUCCUAAAAUUUUAUGACAAAAUGGGCUGAAAGUUUGUAGAGAUACCUAAACUUGAACAAAGAUUGACAAAGAAUAUAUGAGAUGAUAUCUAAUGCCGAAGCAAAUUCCAAUGCUAAAAACUUUUCAGGAAAGUUCCAAUCUUGGUAUGCUUCUCGAAUUUUGAAGUACACCAACGAAAGAAAGCCAGACAUUUUUAACAAAGCAGCGUCACUGAUAGAAGAUGAUAACUUGAGAGCUUUGGCACUAGUACCAAUACUCCUUCCUGCAGCGAAUUUUAUUCACAAACGUAAGAGUAAUACCACCAGUGGAUGAUCAAGUACAAGUAAGAAAAUGAAACUGUCUAAAGGACGGCAAUCUGCAUUCAGAGAAAUUGAAAUCGACAACUUAUUUGGUUCGUUAACGUCGAAGAGUUCUCAUCGUCAACUUUUCCAAAUCCCGAGUUAUUAAGGAUUGUAAAAGAGGGCACAGACAUUCAAGCAACAAUUUCUAGAUUACGCACUGAUUCAGUAGGUGCCUUACAACCCUAUCUGCUUGCUUAUUCUGGCAUACAAGUAACGAAGUAUUUUAUUAUUGGUGACGGAAAAAUGAUUGAGAUUCAUAGCAAUGAAAGUCCGCUUGCAGGAUUUGAUCUUUUAUUUAAGUUACACUAUGUAGGGUGAAGGAACCAGUUGUCGAGUUGACACCAGUUUUCGAGUCCUGGUGACUAUUUAUGUCUAUAAGUAGUAAAUUAUAUUAAAUACGUAAAAUAAAAUAAUAUAACAAUAUUCCCAAUUAAUAUAGUUAUUCAUAAAAAAAUGUUUUAUAUUGUAAUGUUAAAUUGUUUUUCUUAAAAAAAAUAAUUUUAUAUGCAUUACUCACGAAAUCAGAGGAAUGACACCAUUUGCUAUUUUCAUUCGUAAUGUGACUUGUGUUAUUUAACUUCUAUAAAAACAGUAUAUUUUUUAAUAUUUAAAAAACUUCUUUAAUACCAUUAAAUUCAGAAGAAAACAAAGAGUAUCUAACUGUUGAUAAUUACUUUAUAUGACUAUUUAUUAGUUUAAAUAAAAUUAAUACUCGGUAACUGGUACUGAAUUUUUAUUGCUCUCCAAUUGUCGAUUUGUUGACUCUAGAAAUGGGUUUGGCAUAUUUUAUUAUUUGACACAAUUUUUCGAUUGUCAAUUAAAACCGUAAGCAUAAAU